rnacentral:rRNA from 1 species
AGUGAACGCUGGCGGUAGGCCUAACACAUGCAAGUCGAACGGCAGCACAGUAAGAGCUUGCUCUUACGGGUGGCGAGUGGCGGACGGGUGAGGAAUACAUCGGAAUCUACUUUUUCGUGGGGGAUAACGUAGGGAAACUUACGCUAAUACCGCAUCCGACCUACGGGUGAAAGCAGGGGAUCUUCGGACCUUGCGCGAUUGAAUGAGCCGAUGUCGGAUUAGCUAGUUGGCGGGGUAAAUGCCCACCAAGGCGACGAUCCGUAGCUGGUCUGAGAGGAUGAUCAGCGACACUGGAACUGAGACACGGUCCAGACUCCUACGGGAGGCAGCAGUGGGGAAUAUUGGACAAUGGGCGCAAGCAUGAUCCAGCCAUACCGCGUGGGUGAAGAAGGCCUUCGGGUUGUAAAGCCCUUUUGUUGGGAAAGAAAAGCAGCAGGUUAAUACCCCGCUGUUCUGACGGUACCCAAAGAAUAAGCACCGGCUAACUUCGUG